AAUAAUCAAAGUCAAACAAGAGCCAAAAUUGCAAGAACCGCACCAAAUACAAACCCCAAUGGGUUCAACUGCGCUGCACCCCCAAGUCCCGGCAAACCGGGGCGUCCUCCUGGGGUAGACGGUGCCGGAGGAGAGUCGCCGGACGGAGGCGAGUCAUCGGAUGGGGGAGAGUCUUCGGACGGGGGAGAGUCUUCGGACGGAGGCGAGUCUUCGGACGGAGGCGAGUCAUCGGACGGCGGAGUGUCGUCAGUUGGAGGGGAGUCGGAUGGUGGGGAAUCAGUCGGAGGGGAGACGGAUGGUGGGGAAUCAGUCGGAGGGGAGUCGGAGGGAGAAUCAGCCGGAGGGGUAUCGCCGGAGGGAGUGCCGACGCCAUUGUCGUAACCUGGAGUUAAGAAAACAAUUUUCAUUGACAUUGAAAAAAAAGGACUAGUAGAAGAAAGAAGAGUUUUCAG
rnacentral:lncRNA from 1 species